UUCUUAGAGCUCUUCAAGUGAUUAAGAUUAUGCUGCAUUUUGUGAUAAAUAUUGGAACGUUGUAGUAUAUUUCACGUGCUUUUAACACACAUUGAUUACCUAAAUAAACAUUUUCCUGUUGAUUUUUCUGUUUAUGUUGAAUAAAUAUUUUACUUAUUUGUGGAGGUCUUUUUAAAUUUUUAUAGUGGAUUUACCAUUUUCUAAUAUUAGGUUCUUCAUGCUUCCAAACUCCCAUAACUAUGUUAUUAUAUGUCUAGCUUUAUAUUAUCACAACCAAAAUCUGUUGGAGGAAGUUUUGUGUAAGACUUUCAGAUUCGAAGGACCUCAGUUCAUUGGACGGUGCACUAUUUCUACUUAAACAUAGUUGUUUUGCUUUUGACCAAAACAUAGAUUAUAAAUAGAUUUAAUGAAAUGUGAAGUUGGUUAUUGUUCAGGAGUAAAGCAAAUGGAUUGCCUUGGAUGUGAUUUAUAUUGGAGCAGAUGGGAGGAGAGAGUUGUGUGAUGGUGAUGGGCAUGGUGUGAUAGGUCAUUUGCUUGGUGGGUGUUUUACUUGGUUAGAUUUCAUUUAAUGGCUUAAAAGGGGUCUGUGAUCGUAAUUGAUGUGUACAGGCCAUAAAUCUUUGGUUGGAGGUAGCUUUUUGAAGGAAAUAGAAAGCAUGUACAAAAGGUAGGCUAAUCCUUGGUAUCUGCAGGUGACUCCAGUGUAAAAACAGAGGUUAAUGUGAGGUAUUCUAUGAAAUUCCUGGAUUUUGUUUUUGACAUGACAUGAGUUGGAGGUCAUCACUUGAAGUGCUAAAAGAGGAAGAUUAGUGCGCCAAUGAAGAAUUCUAUAAUUUCAGAGGUUAAGAGGGUUUUAGUGCUCUUUUUAGGGCUCAUCGGUAGGUUAGAUCUUGAUAUUGGCCGGGCCUGGGGCUGAUAGUUUUUAUAAGUUAGUGGAUAAUGAGGACUAUAAUAGUCACAUAAGUUAUGACUGACCACCACAUGGUCUAGCUCAUGAAUGAGUAAGCUCACACCUAUGAGUGAGUGAGGCACUUCAAAACUUGAGUGAGUUGGAUAUCUUAAAAUGUUGAGAAGGGACAUGAAGUUUACCAUGGGCUGAGCAAAGUGGAAGGAAGCCCUGGUACUAGGGAAAGAGAAGGGGCCUUCUUCAUGUCUUUUCAGAUGUUCAUUUUCAGGCUAUUUGGUGUGUUUUGGGUUGAUAAUUGAUACGAACAGUUCUCGUUGAUAUUUAGUUCUUUGAGCCUUUCAACAGUAUGCCUUUCUUCUUUUUGUAGUACGCUAAAAAACUUGCACGUAUCUCCUGAGCCACUUGGAAAGAGAUGUGCUUUGCCUCUGAAAAAAAAAAAAGCUGCAAUGAUGCAUUAUUUUUGUGAGAUGCUUUUCAACCUGGCAGGUAUAAGCUAGUGGGAAGUUUUUAAGAAUGCCUUUAGACCACUUUUUAGAGAGCCAGAAGGAAUUAAAUUUCGUGAAGUAUCUUUGGCUAGAGAGCAGAGCAAUUUGUUGAGGUUUCUUUGCUCUUUCUGCAUGUUCCUCGCUGCAUGAAGAAUGAAUUUUGGCGCGUGCUAUUCAUCACAACACACAUCCUCAAAGGAAUUGUUGCUUCAGUUAGCGCUUUAUUGGCAAAUGGUGCAUCUUCUUUCCGUGUGUUGGCUGAUCUGACUGCUUUUCGUCUGACUUUACUGUUUUUAGGCUCUCCAACUGGCUAAUGAAUUGGCAUUAUUAUCUUCACCUUGCACAUAAAUUUUCAUGAAUUCUAGCUUGAAUCCAUGGCAUGUUUUGCUUGAAUUCCAGGUUUGUGGAACUUAGCAUGGCGCUUCACGCCAUGCAAGCUUUGGUGCUUUGACUGUCUUUUCCUAACCAAAGCAGCCAUUUUGUUUUUUGUUUAAAUAAACGAAAUGCGUCGCAGUAAAAGUUUUCACUGUAAAUAAAAAGUUGUAAAUUUUUCUGCAUGCUUGUGUCUGCAUGAAGAAUGAAUGUUGGUUAUGCUAUUUAUGACAACACCCACACAUCCUUAAAUGUUUGUGAUUAUGACCAUCUUUUGAACAUUGAUGUUAGGAAUUGUCUGUUCUGAUUUGAGUGUCACUGGGCA